AUGCAUGUUAUAUAGAAAUUCCAAAAUCAUCUUUGUCAACAAAACAUAUUAUUUGAUCCUCUUACAGAUUGUAAAAGUAUGUCUCAUGCUCUACAGAUUGUCAACCAUCUUAUGCUUGUACUCAUCAUCGACUGCUAUAUGUUAUAAGGCACGAUAACAAAUUGUCCUUCAUCACCUCUUGCAAAUCUCACAACCUCCAAUUCUUGAUGCACUAAAUCGACUUUCACCACGACCAUUUCUGUUCCCUCGCCACCCCUGCUCGGAUGAAGAGGUGACUGAAAAGAAAAUGAUAUAAGUACAUCAAACAAUCAGAUCAGGGCUGUUGACAAUCCAGAAAUGCCAUGAGUCAUACUGGUGUACAUGAAUAACCAAAUGCCAUAUACAAUUGUCCUGAAGGGGGUAAAUAGAAAGUUUAACCAAAGUAAUCUUACAACCUCAUAUUAGAGGUUAGAUAUCUUUCACGGCAAUUACGGAAAUGAUGAACACUCUUACAGUAAAGGGAGUCAGUGGUGACAACGGGAGGCACACGCGUAGUCGGCGACAACUGCGCGGAUGAGAGGGGAGGACAGGGGGACUUAGUUUGUGCUCCUGUAGCUACACGAUGGAAGAAGUAAAAAAAUCAGUGUAUGCUCAGUCCAUGCAACAUUAAAAGUGCACCCAAAAAAGAAAAUCAAAAACUCAGUUUAUUCUCAUGGUUCUUUACUCAACACUUGCUUGGCCAUGUUGCUCUUUCCCCGCCUAUUCGCUGCACGUCACAAAAACACAUGCCAAAAGAAAUCUGGAAUACAAUGCCUAAAAAUUUGGAAUAUAAUGCCACAAAAACUUGCAAAAUUUCUUUUAAAUAUGAAUCUCUACUCUCCCCUGUUCACGAAAAUAUGUUGUGCUCUAGCUAGUCUAUACAGAUCAUACAGGUUCUAUUGAUUAGGGGGUCACUAAUAAGUGGAGAAAUAUGUAUAGAGAGAUAUGGGCGAGAAAGGCGCAGUACCAUUGCCUAUGUAACGUAUUAGUCUAACAUUCAUCAGUAUUAUAUACCGUGAAAUGUACAAGUCCACAUUGCAGACCACCCAAACAUGUCACAAUCCCUAUAUUAAGCUGAUAAAGCAAAUGAACAACCAGUCAGAACAUACUUAAAGUCAGGUCGAUUUACAAAUUGCAGGCAAUGAUCAAGAGUAGGUGAAUUACUAACCAAAGGAAGCCUCCAGAAUCAAAUCGAGCAUGACACCAUCAUGGACAUCAGGUUGAAGCGAUCUAUUUUCUAGAUAAUAUACCUUGCAUUUCUGUAGUAAUAAAGCAUGAACAAUGAUUGGAGAUUAGAAGAAAAAAUGAUAGAAAGAAAUAGUUGUGAGAGAUCUUGCAUUCACAUUUCAUGUAGCACAAUUAGAGAGAGAAAAGACAGGCAAAUAUAAAAAAUAAGGCCAAGAAUUGUUUUCUUAAAGCCUUAAAAUGAACUGGUAAAGAAAAACAAACCCCAUGGAAGAAAAGAACAAAAUAUGUGCUUCAGGUAGAAGCAUCAGUCACCAGGCUCACAUCCAAGGUUUUUGAGUCGCCGACUAAUCGCCAAGUCGUUGGAGCGAGGUUGGCUUGCACAGGCGACUUGGCUUGAGGAGCGAGUCGCGCGGCUGGUAGGCUAGUCGACGAUUAGUCGACGACUAGUCGGGCGACUAGGACCUCAGAGCAGGGCGGCUUGCUUCAGCAAGGCCAAGGGAGGGAAGACUGGGAAGGUGAGGAGGCCAGAGUUUGAGGGAGGGGAGGAGGAGACGAAGCUGGAGAGUGCGCCGCCUGUACGAGAAGCACGGAAGAGACGAAGGAGAAAGGCACAUGGGAGAGCAGAUGCACGGUCCAGAUUAGAGCAUAUGGACGGUUGGGAUUUUAUUUGGAAGCUAGGGUUACAUAAUGGGCCUAUUGGGCCAGCUCUCUAGCACGAAACAGAGGAGCAAGACGCGUGCUCCCAUCCCACAUCAGAAUCGCCGCCUCCAUUGCUCCUACGAGCUGCUGCUGCCUUCUCCGAGCUGAAGUAUCCUCCAAGCAGCUGCCUUCCCCCUCCUCCGCGUGCAACAGCACCUCUUCCCCCUCCUCCUCCUCCUCUUCCCCCUCCUCCUCCUCUUAACACCUGGGGCGACUUGGGGGCGAUUAAUCACGACGAGUCACAGACUAAUCGCAGCGAGCCACUAGUUGGAGGCAUGGCGACUCGACUUGGCUAGGCGACUCAAAAACCUUGCUCACAUCAUUGUUCUUUGCCAUGGUGCAGGCUUUGGUGCUGAAUGUAGAAUCUAGGCUUCCUCCUGACUACCCUUCUAAUGGUAUCCUCUCCUGCCUCAAUCUACGUUGUGUGGAUACUUCAGAAAGCGCACGUAUCCAGCCGGAUACUGCCCCGAUACGUAUCCCGUAAAUAUCUUUCGAUUUUUUGAUUUUAGAAAAAGAAAAUAAUGUUCGAUACUCCUGGGAUACUGCUGCGAUACGUUUUGGAUACCUCAAACCCCUCGUUCAACCUGAAAUCCCCUCAAUAGAAAAGGCGCACGUUUGAAGAUUCCCAACAUGGGCGUGAGUUCAUGUCAAAACAUGACUAUCAAUGUUCUUGUUCACCGGCCAUGUUGCUCUAAUUUCCCCUACGCCUAUUCACUGCACGUCACAACAACACAUGCCAAAAGAAAAUCUGGAAUAUAAUGACUAAAAAUUUGGAAUAUAAUGCCACAAAAACUUGCAAAAUUUCUUUUAAAUAUGCAUCUCUACUCUCUCCUGUUCACAAAAAUAUGUUGUACUCUAGCUAGCAUAUACAGAUCAUACAUGUUCUAUUGAUUGGGGGGUCACCAAUCAGUGGAGAAAUCUGUAUAGAGAUAUAUGGGUGAGAAAGGCGCAGUACCAUUGCCUAUGUAACAUAUUAGUGUAACAAUCAUCAGUAUUAUAUACCUUGAAAUGUACAAGUCCACAUUGCAGACCACCCAAACAUGUCACAAUCCCUAUAUUGAGCUGAUAAAGCAAAAGAACCAGUCAGAACAUAUUAAAGUCAGGUUGAUUUACAAAUUGCAGGCAAUGAUUAAGAGUAGGUGAAUUACUAACCAAAGGAAGCCUCCAGAAUCAAAUCGAGCUGACACCAUCAUGGAUCAUUAGGUUGAAGCGAUAUAUUUCCUAGAUAAUAUACCUUGCAUUCCUGUAGUAAUAAAGCAUGCACAAUGAUUGGAGAUUAGAAUAAAAAAGGAUAGAAAGAAAUAGUUGUGAGAGAUCUUACAUUCACAUUUCAUGUAGCACACUAGAGAGAGGAAAAGACCGGCAAAUAUAAAAAAUAAGGACAAGAAUUGUUUUCUUAAAGGCCUAACUAAAAUGAACUGGUAAAGAACAACAAACCCCAUGGAAGAAAAGAACAAAAUAUGUUCUUCAGGUAGAAACAUCAGUCACCAGACUCACAUCAUUGUUCUCUGCUAUGGUGCAGGCUUUGGUGCUGAAUGUAGACUCUAGAGCUUCCUCCUGACUACCCUUCUCAUGGUAUCCUCUCAUGCCUCAAGCCCCCAAUCGACUUCUCCAAUCUCCAACUUGCCCAUGUGUUGCAGCAUGUCCCAAAAAGAGACAAACAUGAGGUACUGCGUCUUGCCCGGGACAUCAACCUAUGUACAAAAAGAUUUCUUAGUAUUAGUUCAUACUCCGUACUUCAUAGCUGGAAGAAAGUAAUAUUAAAGGAAUGGUUCAAUCACAGUAUAACCUAGAAGUGUAAAAAUUAAAGAGAAACCUUAACCUUUAGAAGACAACUUUCCCAACUUUGUGCCAUCCGCUUCUAGACUUCACAUGCGCACCACGAUUGUGCUACUUAUACAUGC
rnacentral:lncRNA from 1 species